GAUGAACGCUGGCGGCGUGCCUAAUACAUGCAAGUCGAGCGAACAGACGAGGAGCUUGCUUCUCUGACGUUAGCGGCGGACGGGUGAGUAACACGUGGAUAACCUACCUAUAAGACUGGGAUAACUUCGGGAAACCGGAGCUAAUACCGUAUAAUAUGUUGAACCGCAUGGUUCAACAGUGAAAGACGGUCUUGCUGUCACUUAUAGAUGGAUCCGCGCCGCAUUAGCUAGUUGGUAAGGUAACGGCUUACCAAGGCAACGAUGCAUAGCCGACCUGAGAGGGUGAUCGGCCACACUGGAACUGAGACACGGUCCAGACUCCUACGGGAGGCCGCAGUAGGGAAUCCUCCGCAAUGGGCGAAAGCCUGACGGAGCAACGCCGCGUGAGUGCAGAAGGACUUCGGAUCGUAAAAAUCUGUUAUUAGGGAAGAACAAAUGUGUAAGUAACUGUGCACAGAGUGACGGUACCUAAUCAGAAAGCCACGGCUAACUACGUG
rnacentral:rRNA from 1 species